rnacentral:rRNA from 1 species
UACGGAGGGUGCGAGCGUUAAUCGGAAUUACUGGGCGUAAAGCGCGCGUAGGUGGCUUGGUCAGUCGGAUGUGAAAGCCCCGGGCUUAACCUGGGAACUGCAUUCGAUACUGCCAAGCUAGAGUGUGGUAGAGGGUGGCGGAAUUCCCGGUGUAGCGGUGAAAUGCGUAGAUAUCGGGAGGAACAUCAGUGGCGAAGGCGGCCACCUGGACCAACACUGACACUGAGGUGCGAAAGCGUGGGUAGCAAACAGG